rnacentral:rRNA from 1 species
GCAGCCUGAUCCGCCAUGCCGCGUGAGUGAAGAAGGCCUUCGGGUUGUAAAGCUCUUUCAGAUGCGAAGAUGAUGACGGUAACAUCAGAAGAAGCCCCGGCUAAUUUCGUGCCAGCAGCCGCGGUAAUACGAAAGGGGCAAGCGUUGUUCGGAUUUACUGGGCGUAAAGGGCACGCAGGCGGUCCUGCCAGUCAGGGGUGAAAGCCCGGGGCUCAACCCCGGAACUGCCUCUGAUACUGCAGGACUAGAGACUAGGAGAGGGUGGUGGAAUUCCCAGUGUAGAGGUGAAAUUCGUAGAUAUUGGGAGGAACACCAGAGGCGAAGGCGGCCACCUGGACUAGAUCUGACGCUCAGGUGCGAAAGCGUGGGGAGCAAACAGGAUUAGAUACCCUGGUAGUCCACGCCGUAAACGAUGAGUGCUAGUUGUCGGGAUUUCGAUUUCGGUGACGCAGCUAACGCAUUAAGCACUCCGCCUGGGGAGUACGGUCGCAAGAUUAAAACUCA